AGCAGCAAGAGAGACUGGGGUUAGAUGCUUAGUAGCACUUCCCAGGUUUGGAAACCUGUGGAGCAGGAAAUUUGCCCCCAAUUUCUCCCCCUUUGGACACAUUUCACUCCCUUGAAAUUGGAGCAGAGGAAAGAGCAGGAACUCACUGACCUGCCUGGCGGGGGCCACUGCAGGGAAGAGAAAAUGAUCCAGUUCUGUGCAGCAUCGGGUGUGGGAGCGGCAUGGUGAUUUCCAGCUCCAUGGGGCUCACCAAGGUCCCCUUCCCUCACCCCCACCCGCCAGCCCCCAGCACUCAGGACUUUGGAGGCUCAGACCCCAGCUCUGUGGCUGUCAGUUGGCGUGGCCUCAGACAGGAGGCAUCCUUGCUCCUUGACUCGGUUUCCCCAUCUGCAAAAUGGGCACAGUCAUAUGAUGCCUGUGGUUGCCAUUAUUCACCAGUCACCCUGCUGGCUGGAGGAGUGUCCCCAGAGACACCCCCUCAAUGUCCCCUGGGACAAGAGGUUUCUCCACAAAGUGGAGGUGGGGACCAUCGGGACCCACACUUUUUGGGCGAGAAAACUGGGGCAAGAUGCUUUGGGUCAGAGCGGUGCCAGAGCCUGACUUGGGUGCCCUGCUCUGGUCCCUAUGACUCCGUCUCCCUGGCACGCUCCAUCCGCCACCCGACGCACCUUCCACCAGCUGGACCUAGCCUGGGGCGGGCAGAGGCCCCACUUGGAUCUGAGAAAGAAGGCGGGGAGGGUGGGGGUGGGGGUUGGGCUGCAGACCCCCCCCCCCGAAGAGGCCUGGCCGGGAGCGCCCCACCCCCUAGCUCCGUUAACAGGGCGAUUAAAGAGUGACAGACGAGAGGAAAAGCCUGAAAGAAUUAAACAAACGAAGGGA